rnacentral:rRNA from 1 species
UGGAAGUAAAAGUCGUAACAAGGUUUCCGUAGGUGAACCUGCGGAAGGAUCAUUACCGAGAGUUGCAGGCUUUUGUCUGCCAUCUCUUACCCAUGUCUUUUGCGUACUACACGUUUCCUCGGCAGGUCCGCCUGCCGUUAGGACCCCAUUAAACCAUUUGCAGUUGCAGUCAGCGUCUGAAAAACUUAAUAAUUACAACUUUUAACAACGGAUCUCUUGGUUCUGGCAUCGAUGAAGAACGCAGCGAAAUGCGAUAAGUAGUGUGAAUUGCAGAAUUCAGUGAAUCAUCGAAUCUUUGAACGCACAUUGCGCCCUAUGGUAUUCCAUAGGGCAUGCCUGUUCGAGCGUCAUUUGUACCUUCAAGCUCUGCUUGGUGUUGGGUGUUUGUCCCGCCUUUGUGCGCGGACUCGCCUUAAAGCAAUUGGCAGCCGACGUCUAGGUUUCGGAGCGCAGCACAAAUCGCGCUCUGUGUCCUGGUACGGCGGCGUCCAUCAAGACUAUUUUACACUCUUGACCUCGGAUCAGGUAGGGAUACCCGCUGAACUUAAGCAUAUCAAUAAGCGGAGGAA